UGGGGAAUUUUGGACAAUGGGCGAAAGCCUGAUCCAGCAAUGACGCGUGUGUGAAGAAGGCCUUCGGGUUGUAAAGCACUUUUGUCCGGAAAGAAAUCCUUGGCUCUAAUACAGUCGGGGGAUGACGGUACCGGAAGAAUAAGCACCGGCUAACUACGUGCCAGCAGCCGCGGUAAUACGUAGGGUGCAAGCGUUAAUCGGAAUUACUGGGCGUAAAGCGUGCGCAGGCGGUUUGCUAAGACCGAUGUGAAAUCCCGGCGUCACUAGGCACUGGCAUGUGAUGCUGGCAGGCUAGAGUAUGGCAGAGGGGGUGGAAAUACCCACGUGUAGCAGUGAAAUGCGUAGAGAUGUGGAGGAAUACCGAUGGCGAAGGCAGCCC
rnacentral:rRNA from 1 species